rnacentral:rRNA from 1 species
UACGGAGGAUCCGAGCGUUAUCCGGAUUUAUUGGGUUUAAAGGGUGCGUAGGCGGCCUAUUAAGUCAGGGGUGAAAGACGGUAGCUUAACUAUCGCAGUGCCUUUGAUACUGAUAGGCUUGAAUGUACUUGAGGUAGGCGGAAUGUGACAAGUAGCGGUGAAAUGCAUAGAUAUGUCACAGAACACCAAUUGCGAAGGCAGCUUACUAAAGUAUGAUUGACGCUGAGGCACGAAAGCGUGGGGAUUAAACAGG